AUCGAACAAGGAGCAGGAAAGAGGGUGAAAAACCCUAAACUCAAGAAAUCAAGAAAUUGAAGCUUAAAUCACAAGAAAAUUCGAUGCAUGAGCCCCUUUUUGCGAAAAUCUAACCCUAAUUAGUGAAGUGGCGUAAAAGAAGAAGGUACAAGCACUAAGAAAGCGGAAGGAGCACAAGAUCGAGGUAAAACUCCGCUAUAGGCGAUUUGGGGACAUGGAGCGAGCACGUGAUCAAACCUUAUUAUACCAAGCGCUUCCGCUAGUUUAUAUGCAUGCUUUUG